rnacentral:rRNA from 1 species
GACGAACGCUGGCGGCGUGCUUAACACAUGCAAGUCGAACGGAAAGGCCCUGCUUUUGUGGGGUGCUCGAGUGGCGAACGGGUGAGUAACACGUGAGUAACCUGCCCUUGACUUUGGGAUAACUUCAGGAAACUGGGGCUAAUACCGGAUAGGAGCUCCUGCUGCAUGGUGGGGGUUGGAAAGUUUCGGCGGUUGGGGAUGGACUCGCGGCUUAUCAGCUUGUUGGUGGGGUAGUGGCUUACCAAGGCUUUGACGGGUAGCCGGCCUGAGAGGGUGACCGGCCACAUUGGGACUGAAAUACGGCCCAGACUCCUACGGGAGGCAGCAGUGGGGAAUAUUGCACAAUGGGCGGAAGCCUGAUGCAGCAACGCCGCGUGCGGGAUGACGGCCUUCGGGUUGUAAACCGCUUUCGCCUGUGACGAAGCGUGAGUGACGGUAAUGGGUAAUGAAGCACCGGCUAACUACGUG